rnacentral:rRNA from 1 species
UCUAGAGUAAGGGAGAGGCAGAUGGAAUUCUUGGUGUAGGGGUAAAAUCCGUAGAGAUCAAGAAGAAUACCCAUUGCGAAAGCGAUCUGCUGGAACUUAACUGACGCUAAUGCGUGAAAGCGUGGGGAGCAAACAGGAUUAGAUACCCUGGUAGUCCACGCCCUAAACGAUGUAUACUAGUUGUUGCUUCGCUAGUCGAGGCAGUAAUGCACCUAACGGAUUAAGUAUACCGCCUGGGGAGUACGGUCGCAAGAUUAAAACUCAAAGGAAUAGACGGGGACCCGCACAAGCGGUGGAGCAUGUGGUUUAAUUCGAAGAUACGCGAAGAACCUUACCCGGACUUGAUAUCUAACAAAUCAUCCAGAGAUGGAAGAGUGUCUGCUUGCAGAAAUGUUAAGACAGGUGCUGCACGGCUGUCGUCAGCUCGUGUCGUGAGAUGUUGGGUUAAGUCCCGCAACGAGCGCAACCCACGUCAUUAGUUGCUAACGGUUCGGCCGAGCACUCUAAUGAGACUGCCUUCGCAAGGAGGAGGAAGGUGUGGACGACGUCAAGUCAUCAUGGCCCUUAUGUCCGGGGCGACACACGUGCUACAAUGGCGUAUACAAUGAGACGCAAUAUCGCGAGAUGGAGCAAAUCUAUAAAAUACGUCCCAGUUCGGAUUGGAGUCUGCAACUCGACUCCAUGAAGCCGGAAUCGCUAGUAAUCGUAGAUCAGCCAUGCUACGGUGAAUACGUUCCCGGGUCUUGUACUCACCGCCCGUCACACCAUGGGAGUUGAUUUCACUUGAAGCCCAAAUACCAAACUGGUUAUGGUCCACAGUGGAAUCAGCGACUGGGGUGAAGUCGUAACAAGGUAACCGUAGGAGAACC